GUAGGUGAACCUGCGGAAGGAUCAUUACCGAGAGACAUGGGGUCUAACCGGCCCCGACUCUUCAUCCGUGUCUACAUACCCAUGUUGCUUUGGCGGGCCCUGAGUUCGUCUCGGGGAGCAUUCGCUCCCGAGUGCCCGCCAAUGGCCCCUUAAAAUUCUUGUAAUCAGUGUCGUCUGAGUAAAACACAAAAUAACUAAAACUUUCAACAACGGAUCUCUUGGUUCUG
rnacentral:misc_RNA from 1 species